GGCGUCAUAGCUCAGCUGGGAGAGCAGCAGACUGAAGUUUCACGGAUCAUCUGAAGGUCCCGUGUUCAAGCCACGGUGAUGCCA